CCAAACUUGGUCAUUUAGAGGAAGUAAAAGUCGUAACAAGGUUUCCGUAGGUGAACCUGCGGAAGGAUCAUUAACAAAAUCCAAUUUUAAACAUGUUGAAACGUUUGUAAAGACCUCUAUCUAUUCUCUUAGUGUGAGAUCCUUUACAAAACUUCCCUCAUUGUCAUUAGAUUCACCACCAUUAUUCAUUAUCAUCACAAUCCAAGAGGCCGACCGAUUUAAAAAAGUUGGUUCUCAAGGCACAGUUGUGUGGUUGUUGGUGGUGUGGGUGGGUCAAAUGACAACGGGGGAAAUUUUUUACACAAACUAUAUUAAAUUGACAAGCUUAAAAAUUAGAAUAUCUAAAAUCAAACAACUUUUAACAAUGGAUCUCUUGGCUCUUGCAUCGAUGAAGAACGCAGC
rnacentral:misc_RNA from 1 species